CAUCCUCCACGUGGCAACUGCUGACCGGGCACGCUGCCCCCUAACGGUCCUCCCAAUUCCAUGGAGCUGCUGCUUCUCUGCCUCACACUCUUCCAUUCAGACACCAAAGCGCACAGUUUAGGAACUGUUGGAAUAUGGAGUGUAAGAUGGUCAGUUCUGCCGUGCAACCUUGCUUAGCCAGGAUGGAUAUGAAGAGAAUUGACGGAUUUCAAGUCAAGAUGGCUGUUUUCAGUGGAAAAAGAUUGAACAAACUGAAUCGGGUUUUGAUUGAAAAUCCUGUUCAUUAUGAACGUUGGAGAGUGUUUUGUAACCCUAUUAGUUUGGAGGAGGAAUUCUCAGCAAUACAGAAUUUCUCCAAGGACGAGGGUUCUGGCUACGAGAUUAGCGCGGAAGAGGACCUUGAAGGACCACCUAGUAGUGAAGAGUUGAAGGCAUUGCUUGCUGAUUCACAACGAUCAAAGCUCAUCAAGAAACUGAGUGAAGCAAAUCAACAGAACCGGCUUCUUAAGCGCCAGUUACAAGCAAAGGAUCAUGCACUAGUUAGUUUCAAGCGCGAACUUGCCAUCAUAGACCAGGAGAUUAAGGCUCUGGUUCGUCUGGCAGAAGAAAUUUCUAGUUACAGUAUUCCGGAUGGUUCGAGAAAGAUUAAUGGGAAAUACGUUCAGUCUCAUCUUCUCUCACGGUUGGAAGGUAGCUGUUUCAUUCACCAUCUUUGUAUAUAUCUUCUCCUAAGUGAACUCUUGUGGUCCCUUGAUGAUUGCCAGAGCUAUCCUAGAAAAGUGCGCGCAACAGAUCAAGGAUGUCAAUGCUGCACAAGCACAAGCCGUUCAUUUAUUCUGGAAUGGCGUGGCAGAGAACGUGCAAGUAAUGGGCUCCUUUGACGGCUGGAGUCAAGGAGAACACAUGUCACCGGAGUAUAAUGGUUCAUACGCAACAUUCUCAGCGACGCUGAUGCUUAGACCUGGAAGGUAUGAAAUCAAAUUCUUGGUAGAUGGGGACUGGAAACUAUCGCCUGAAUUUCCAACCGUUGGUGAGGGGAUGUUGCAGAACAAUUUACUGAUAGUUGAUUAGCGUCAGUCUGCUGAUUUGCUCGAUUGAGGUGUUAGAUUGCUUCUAGAUGUUACCUGUUUUCUCUGUAAGUGGAGAAGAGGCAGGAUAAUAAAGAUGGGGUUAUUUUCGUUUCAUAUAGGUAUAGUGAAGCUCUCCUUGUUUUGUGCUGAGAUUUUGGAACUUGAGACAGCAUAGUACUUGUAUAGGUCACUGAUGUUGCUGCUCGCUUCUGUGUCUGGAUGAGUAUCUCUUGAGACUUGAAGCCUGGAAAUUCAAUAAGAACAUUCAAGUUCAUUACUGAUACAAUAUAUUUCUGUGAAACGGUAGCUGACGGGCUCUGGUUAGACCUUCGAUCAUUUUA